AACCCCACCUCCCCAUUCCAUGGCAGACACGUGUAUACUAUGGAUUGCAGAAAAGUUCAAAGCGUUUCAGUGCAACUAUCCAAACAACCCUUAUAACAGCCCUGUAAGGCAGGAGUUCUAAGCCAUCCCUCAAAUAGGCAUUUCCGUUUACAGAGCGGGAGCUUUAAACGAAUCCCACAAACUAGUCCAGGUGUGCUAAUGCCACUGGCACGAAGAACUGGAGUCCAAACCCUUUGCAUAUCCCUCUCCCGAUGGCCACGCAACUUGACAGGUGGGAUCAAGGAGGGAGAA